ensembl:snRNA U6 U6 spliceosomal RNA
GAGAUUGCCUGGCAGCAUGUGUACUAAAACUGGAAUAAUACAGAUAAGAUUAACAUGGUCCUUACACAAGGAUAACAUGCAAAUUCUUCCCAUAUUUUU